rnacentral:rRNA from 1 species
UACGUAGGGUGCAAGCGUUAAUCGGAAUUACUGGGCGUAAAGCGUGCGCAGGCGGCUUUGCAAGACAGAGGUGAAAUCCCCGGGCUCAACCUGGGAACUGCCUUUGUGACUGCAUAGCUAGAGUGCGGCAGAGGGGGAUGGAAUUCCGCGUGUAGCAGUGAAAUGCGUAGAUAUGCGGAGGAACACCGAUGGCGAAGGCAAUCCCCUGGGCCUGCACUGACGCUCAUGCACGAAAGCGUGGGGAGCAAACAGG